rnacentral:rRNA from 1 species
GACGAACGCUGGCGGCGUGCUUAACACAUGCAAGUCGAACGGAAAGGCCCUGCUUUUGUGGGGUGCUCGAGUGGCGAACGGGUGAGUAACACGUGAGUAACCUGCCCUUGACUUUGGGAUAACUUCAGUAAACUGGGGCUAAUACCGGAUAGGAGCUCCUGCUGCAUGGUGGGGGUUGGAAAGUUUCGGCGGUUGGGGAUGGACUCGCGGCUUAUCAGCUUGUUGGUGGGGUAGUGGCUUACCAAGGCUUUGACGGGUAGCCGGCCUGAGAGGGGGACCGGCCACAAUGGGACUGAGGUACGGACCAGACUCCAACGGGAGGCAGCAGUGGGGAAUAUUGCACAAUGGGCGGAAGCCUGAUGCAGCAACGCCGCGUGCGGGAUGACGGCCUUCGGGUUGUAAACCGCUUUCGCCUGUGACGAAGCGUGAGUGACGGUAAUGGGUAAAGAAGCACCGGCUAACUACGUG